CCUCUGUCAGUGGUUUCCGAACCUGUCCAAGGGGUAGCUUGUGAACUGCACGAAGGGAGGAGUAAAAGAAGUUGGCGUAGCGUCACACACACAAGAUGUCACGCCAGCCAAGAACGAAGCGCCGGUCAGCCACGCCCUCUUGAGUCAUCUCAUUGUGCGCGUGCGCAGUUGACUCUGGGAUUCGGUUGCGACAUCACGUGAAGCCGUGGAGCGAUGCAUCAGCCGCUGAACUGAGAAUGGCAACUCAACCGGCCCGUUUGCAAUUCAGCUGCUAUCAGAAACAGUGGGAUGUGAUUGAGGCAUUCCUCGUGCGAUGUUCUGCAGUAGACUCCAAAGCACUGCUGCGGAUGAUUAUCUACGCGACAGAAAACGGGCUUGGCAUCGCGAGGCAAGGAGGAGAGAGAGUUCUUUGGUGGCUUGGCGCCCUUUUCCAUUGGAAACUACACUGAGCGACCUCGCGUGAAGGCGGGGUGCAGCCGAGAGGGGUAGUUUUCUCGCCCCUGCUUCAGAUCAGCGGAAGCAAUGAUGUGUCUCUGGCUUGACAUUCAAGUUUGUGAUGAACCCUUCAGCUUUGGCCCUACAGACAGCUGUCAACAGCUACCGCUCUGUAAGGAAAGAUCUCGGCAAAGAGUAACUGCAAAGACUGCAUCUAAAAGGGAUUUCUCCUCAACUCAAGGCUCUGAAGAAAAAGUUCACCAGUUUGUCUUCAUGAAGAAGAGAAUCCAAGAGAAUCAGGUUCCCUGCGUCAAUAUUGGAUCCAUGUGGCCGAAAAUAACGAUAAAUCUGAUGUGUGAGUAUGUAAUAUAUUAGCGUUUGAACCGUUGUAAAAUGGUGGUUAAAUCCCCCAGGGUUUUCAGUUUCAUACACGGCAUCUUGCUCUGUGGGUAUCGGGAGAAGAAAAACGCUGCACUGGAAUAAGGGAUCAAAGCCACAUGGGGCCAAAUCGUUUCUCAAAUUGUGGUUGGAUGAAUAAUGUGGUUUCUACUUGUUUAGUAUUACUGUAUAACUCACCACAUUCUUCUCUCAGAGCUGAACAUAGAAUACAAAGAUGAAUCAACUCCUCCAUUUUUUGGCCAUCUAACAAUUGAGUUUGAGGCCCUUAACGAACUUCACGUGAAGAAACGUAGAGAAAAUGUAUGCCUAUGCAAAAGAAACAAUAAUUACAUAAGAUGUUUGGCUCUGUAGGGAAUUUGCAGUCUUACAAUACAAACUAGUUCCCAAAUAACAUACAUUUAAAUUGUUUGCAUUAUAAUAAUAAGAGAAGGCAUAGGCCUAUAGAGAGUAUGUUUAUUAUCAUUACUGUGAAU